rnacentral:rRNA from 1 species
AGCGGAGGAAAAGAAACCAACAGGGAUUGCCUCAGUAACGGCGAGUGAAGCGGCAACAGCUCAAAUUUGAAAGCUGGCUCCUUCGGGGCCCGCGUUGUAAUUUGUAGAGGAUGCUUCGGGUGCAGUACCGGUCUAAGUUCUUUGGAACAAGACGUCAUAGAGGGUGAGAAUCCCGUAUGUGACUGGCUGCUUGCGCCUAUGUGAAGCUCCUUCGACGAGUCGAGUUGUUUGGGAAUGCAGCUCUAAAUGGGUGGUGUACUUCAUCUAAAGCUAAAUAUUGGCCAGAGACCGAUAGCGCACAAGUAGAGUGAUCGAAAGAUGAAAAGCACUUUGGAAAGAGAGUUAAACAGUACGUGAAAUUGUUGAAAGGGAAGCGCUUGCAAUCAGACUUGCGCGGCGUCGAUCAGCCUGGGUUCUCCCUGGUGCACUCGGCGCCGCUCAGGCCAGCAUCAGUUUCGGCGGUUGGAUAAGGGCUCAGGGAACGUGGGUGGCCUCGGCCACCGUUAUAGCCCUGGGUGCAAUGCAGCCUGCCGGGACUGAGGACCGCGCUUCGGCUAGGAUGCUGGCGUAAUGGUUGUAAGCGACCCGUCUUGA